UGCAUGAAGUCGGAAUUGCUAGUAAUCGCGGAUCAGCAUGCCGCGGUGAAUACGUUCCCGGGCCUUGUACACACCGCCCGUCACACCAUGAGAGUCGAUAACACCCGAAGCCUGUGAGCUAACCUUUUAGGAGGCAGCAGUCGAAGGUGGGGUUGAUGAUUGGGGUGAAGUCGUAACAAGGUAAC
rnacentral:rRNA from 1 species